rnacentral:rRNA from 1 species
UACGUAGGGCGCAAGCGUUAUCCGGAAUUAUUGGGCGUAAAGAGCGUGUAGGCGGCCCGGUAAGUCCGCUGUGAAAGUCGGGGGCUCAACCCUCGGAUGCCGGUGGAUACUGUCGGGCUCGAGUACGGAAGAGGCGAGUGGAAUUCCUGGUGUAGCGGUGAAAUGCGCAGAUAUCAGGAGGAACACCAAUUGCGAAGGCAGCUCGCUGGGACGUUACUGACGCUGAGACGCGAAAGCGUGGGGAGCAAACAGG